rnacentral:rRNA from 1 species
UAGAGUUUGAUCCUGGCUCACGAUGAACGCUAGCGGCAGGCUUAAUACAUGCAAGUCGAGGGGCAUCGCAGUGUAGCAAUACAUGGGCGGCGACCGGCAAACGGGUGCGGAACACGUACGCAACCUUCCNNNAAGCGGGGCAUAGCUUUCGGAAACGAAAAUUAAUACCCCAUAGUAAUAUCUGAUGGCAUCUGAGGAUAUUUAAAGAUUUAUCACUUGAAGAUGGGCGUGCGCCUGAUUAGGUAGUUGGCGGGGUAACGGCCCACCAAGCCUACGAUCAGUAACUGGUGUGAGAGCACGACCAGUCACACGGGCACUGAGACACGGGCCCGACUCCUACGGGAGGCAGCAGUAAGGAAUAUUGGUCAAUGGACGCAAGUCUGAACCAGCCAUGCCGCGUGGAGGAUGAAGGUCCUCUGGAUUGUAAACUUCUUUUAUCGGAGAAGAAACCCCCGAGUUCUCUUGGGGUUGACGGUACCCGAUGAAUAAGCACCGGCUAACUCCGUGCCAGCAGCCGCGGUAAUACGGAGGGUGCAAGCGUUAUCCGGAUUCACUGGGUUUAAAGGGAGCGUAGGUGGGCUGGUAAGUCAGUGGUGAAAUCUCCGGGCUUAACCCGGAAACUGCCGUUGAUACUAUCAGUCUUGAAUGUUGUGGAGGUAAGCGGAAUAUGUCAUGUAGCGGUGAAAUGC